UACAGAGGGGGCAAGCGUUGUUCGGAAUUACUGGGCGUAAAGGGCGCGUAGGCGGCCCGCUAAGUCGAACGUGAAAUCCCCGGGCUCAACCCGGGAACUGCGUCCGAUACUGGCAGGCUUGAAUCCGGGAGAGGGAUGCGGAAUUCCAGGUGUAGCGGUGAAAUGCGUAGAUAUCUGGAGGAACACCGGUGGCGAAGGCGGCAUCCUGGACCGGCAUUGACGCUGAGACGCGAAGGCGUGGGGAGCGAACGGG
rnacentral:rRNA from 1 species